rnacentral:rRNA from 1 species
AGCGAACGCUGGCGGCAGGCUUAACACAUGCAAGUCGAGCGGGCAUCCUUGUGGUGUCAGCGGCAGACGGGUGAGUAACGCGUGGGAACGUGCCCUUCGGUUCGGAAUAACUCAGGGAAACUUGAGCUAAUACCGGAUACGUGCGAGAGCAGAAAGGUUUAUCUGCCGAAGGAUCGGCCCGCGUCUGAUUAGCUAGUUGGUGAGGUUACGGCUCACCAAGGCGACGAUCAGUAGCUGGUCUGAGAGGAUGAUCAGCCACACUGGGACUGAGACACGGUCCAGGCGCCUACGGGAGGCAGCAGUGGGGAACCUGCCGCAAUGGGCGAAGGCGUGACGGAGCAAGGCCGCGUGAGUGAGGAAGGUCUUCGGAUCGUAAAACUCGGUGAUGAGGGAAGAACAAAAGCGUAAGUAAAUAUGCCUGUCUGGACGGUACCUAAGCAGAAAGCCACGGCUAACUACGUG